GCCAGUGUGGCAUAGCAGUUUGAGUGUUGGACCACAACGCUGGAGAACAGGGUUCGAAUCCCUGCCUGGCC